rnacentral:rRNA from 1 species
ACUGCGUUACCCGUGAUUGAAACACAAGCUGGAGACGUAUCGGCCUAUAUCCCCACCAAUGUGAUCUCCAUUACAGAUGGACAAAUCUGUUUGGAAACAGAGCUCUUUUAUUGCAGAAUUAGACCAGCUAUUAACGUUGGCUUAUCCGUCAGUCACGUCGGGUCUACCGCUCAGUUGAAAGCUAUGAAACAAGUCCGCAGUAGUUCAAAACUGGAAUUGGCACAAUAUCGUGAAGUGGCCGCCUUCGCUCAAUUUGGGUCAGACCUUGAUGAUGCGACUCAGGCAUUACUCAAUAGAUGUGCAAGGCUUACAGAAGUGUCCAAACAACCACAAUAUGAACCACUUCCAAUUGAAAAACAAAUUGUUGUGAUUUAUGCUGCUGUCAACGGCUUCUAUGAUCGAAUGCCACUAGACAGAAUUUCUCAAUAUGAAAAAGCCAUUCUAAGUACUAUUAAUCCAGAAUUACAAAAAUCCUUCUUAUAA